AUUGAACGCUGGCGGCAUGCCUUACACAUGCAAGUCGAACGGUAACAGGUUAAGCUGCCGCGUGGCGAACGGGUGAGUAAUGUAUCGGAACGUGCCCAGUCGUGGGGGAUAACUGCUCGAAAGAGCAGCUAAUACCUCAUACGACCUGAGGGUGAAAGCGGGGGAUCGCAAGACCUCGCGCGAUUGGAGCGGCCGAUAUCAGAUUAGGUAGUUGGUGAGGUAAAGGCUCACCAAGCCGACGAUCUGUAGCUGGUCUGAGAGGACGACCAGCCACACUGGGACUGAGACACGGCCCAGACUCCUACGGGAGGCAGCAGUGGGGAAUUUUGGACAAUGGGCGCAAGCCUGAUCCAGCCAUGCCGCGUGCGGGAAGAAGGCCUUCGGGUUGUAAACCGCUUUUGUCAGGGAAGAAAAGGUUCUGGCUAAUACCUGGGACUCAUGACGGUACCUGAAGAAUAAGCACCGGCUAACUACGUG
rnacentral:rRNA from 1 species